UGAGGAAUAUUGGUCAAUGGGCGCGAGCCUGAACCAGCCAAGUAGCGUGCAGGAAGACUGCCCUAUGGGUUGUAAACUGCUUUUAUCAGGGGAUAAAGUGCCCUACGUGUAGGGUAUUGUAGGUACCUGAUGAAUAAGGACCGGCUAAUUCCGUGCCAGCAGCCGCGGUAAU
rnacentral:rRNA from 1 species